AACAAAAAAACCCAAACAAACAAAACAAACAAACAAACAAAAAAAACAGGGAAAUUUUGUCUACCUACCCAAAGGUGAGAUUUCUCUUCUAGUAGGGCUAAAGCCCUAAAUAGUGUUUGUUUAAGUAUCUAUAGCUUAAUAGCUUUCAACAGUAGUCCCUAGCUGAGGAUCUUGAUUGUUCUUGAAUAAUUAUGGGAGGGCAUUUUGAUUUCUGCUACUACACUCUUAUGUGAAAUGCAUGCCAACACAGAGCAGAGCACCAUGUUCUGACACAGAGGAGCAUCUGUAUGGAAACAAACUUGAACUUUCAAAGGGCUCCAGUGUUGAAUCUCAAAUCUUUUCGGCAUCUUGGAAAAGUCACUGAAAAAAUCCAUUACAGAGCAGCUUAUGCUGGGAGGAGGAAACGGAGCAUGUCUUCUGCUGAAGCAUCAUGCUGUGAUGAAUGGCCAGUAGGUCUGGUGAGCCAGUUGUCCAUUCCAGUCCUGUCUUUGUGCCUGUAAAUGAGCCAGUGUAUAUCUGAAAGAAUGGGAAGUCGUCUGGAAACUUGAUCCAACUGAUCCAACAAAUAGCUCAUUGGAAGAGCACAGGUC